rnacentral:rRNA from 10 species
ACCUGAAAUAAGCAAGAGUACCCGCUGAACUUAA